GGGCGGUGCUGGCUCUGGUCCCUGGAGUUUGCAUUUGCCACGUACUGAGUUAGAAAGGCAGCAGAAAAAAAUGGAAGUCGGAGCCGUAUUGAAAAUGUCAGCGCGCGUCCAUGGUGGCACGUGGGUGUGAGAGCCAAUCCAGACGCUGCGCGGGCCGUUUGAAGUCCCCCGGGGGCCGCGCUUCGGGAGUCUGUCCGAACCGGUAGUUGUGCGCAGCGCGGCGUGCGGGAGGGAGGAACUGCCGCUUUACACCCUCGCUUCUCUGGGUGAAAUUCCUCUCAUGGGAAGGACUGGGCUCAGGUUCCUACCUUUCCGGGAGUGGGAGAAAAAGACUGACAGGUCAUUAAGAAGGUCUAUGAAUUUAGAAAACUCAAGAUUUGGGCUCAAUUACAUCAGCAACCUUCCUCCUCCAGCUCUUGUAAACUUUCCAUCUACUGAGAUUUUCAAAAUCUUUGUGACAGCCCGCUGACCCAAACGGGUGUGAGGAGGUACGCAGAAUGAGGGGAACAGCAGACAGAAAUCCGGGGGAGGAAGUGGGAAGAGGAUUUAGAAGGAUUCAGUUAGCUAACCACGAAUAUCCU
rnacentral:lncRNA from 1 species